GACGAACGCUGGCGGCGUGCCUAGUACAUGCAAGUAGAACGCUGAAGCGAGGAGCUUGCUCUUCUUGGAUGAGUUGCGAACGGGUGAGUAACGCGUAGGUAACCUGCCUUGUAGCGGGGGAUAACUAUUGGAAACGAUAGCUAAUACCGCAUAACAAUGGAUGACACAUGUCAUUUAUUUGAAAGGGGCAAUUGCUCCACUACAAGAUGGACCUGCGUUGUAUUAGCUAGUAGGUGAGGUAAUGGCUCACCUAGGCGACGAUACAUAGCCGACCUGAGAGGGUGAUCGGCCACACUGGGACUGAGACACGGCCCAGACUCCUACGGGAGGCAGCAGUAGGGAAUCUUCGGCAAUGGGGGCAACCCUGACCGAGCAACGCCGCGUGAGUGAAGAAGGUUUUCGGAUCGUAAAGCUCUGUUGUAAGUCAAGAACGGGUGUGAGAGUGGAAAGUUCACACUGUGACGGUAGCUUACCAGAAAGGGACGGCUAACUACGUG
rnacentral:rRNA from 1 species